AGGUCUGCAACGGGCCAGUGCAGCGCGUCCACCGUCUCAGAGGCCGGCCCCAGUGCAAGAUCUCAACUCAGGCAGAUGGUAAUACUCGAUGUGGUGAUAGUAGGGGGCGGACCUCACGCCUUGACCCUCGCUAGCUUGCUAUGUAACACUGAAUCUGAUCCAAAGUCAGACCCCAGACAUGACUUACACCGCCCUCCCUCCCCCGAGAACCCUGCAGGGCCUCAGACCGACCCAGAAACGCCCCACAACAAACGCUGCGUUGGCAGGAAGAACAGGAGAGCGGCCGCUGGCCCGACACUGGAGGAGCAACUAGCGAAGUCCACGAAAUCAGAGAGGCUGGACUUUCCGCCGACGAGUGUCCGAGUGGUGGAUUCUUAUGGAGCUUGGACGACUCUGUGGGAGAGCCAGUUCGCAGCUCUGAACAUCCCCCAUCUGCGCUCACACACACUGGUGCACACAGAUCCUCUCAAUAAGAAAGCCCUGCAGGAGUUUGUUUUAAAGUCCGAUCGCUCUGCAGAGCUUCACAGCCUCCCAGACCACGUCUACAUUCUGGACGAAAACGCAUUUUUCAAUGACAUGAGGCUCGGCAGGAAGGAGAAGAAACGUCUCAACAUCACGUCAACACUCAAGAAGAGUUUAUCUUUCAGUUUGCCCGGAAGCAAACUAAGUGUGGACUUUUUCAAAGACCAGGUGGAGAGAUACAACUUGGACAAAGUGCUGCUGAAGGGAACAGUGGAGCGCAUCACCCCAGUGAUGGAGGACAGGGCUGACUUUAUAAAAGAGGGGGAAGUCACAAGAGUGAAUGACAGGAAGAGGGUGAAGUAUUUUCAAGUCCUCCUUCAAGAGGGCACCCUCCUAAAAGCCCGCAAGGUCGUUAUGGCGACGGGUCCAACCCGUGCCCAGAUGGCCAACAUCCCUUCAUGGGUGAACAGCAUUGCAGAGAGCUACCCAGAGGAGCGUUUGCAACACACUGUGCAGCUCAUGCACCACCUGACAACUGCUUGGCAAAAACAGAAAGCCACAGCUAGUCCGAGACAUAAAGAGACUUCUCCCACUCAAGUGUGCGAGGCAGGGCAAAGAGUAAUGGUAGUUGGUGGAGGUCUGACCAGCGCUCAUGUCGUCUCAAUUGCCCUGCAACAUGGUGCCAGCCAUGUGACAUGGGUCAUGAGGAAGCACCUCCAGUUGAAGCAGUUCGAUGUGGGCGACGUGGAGAGCCUGGUGGGUCGGUACUCUCACGUGGAGCACGGCAUCAAGAUGGACGGCCAAGCCUACCUGAGGCAGUUCUACAACGAGCGGAGCCUCCACAAACGGCUGGCCAUGAUUCGCCAGGCGAGGAAAGGAGGGGCCGUCACCCCGGAGGCUUACGUCCACCUGCAGCCGUCCAUCCUGAACGGAAGGGUGGACGUGAAGACGUACUGUCAGGUGAGUGAAGCCAGCUGGUGCUACAGGAGCCAGGCCUGGAGUCUGUCGCUCAGCACUGGGGACCACUGGACCGGAGACAUGAUCUGGCUCGCCACCGGCUGCAAACUUGAUGUCAAACAGGACCCUUUGCUCUCUGAGGUGAUGAAGGAGUUCCCCAUUCAGGUGAUAGAUGGUUGGCCGUGCGUAUCAGAGAGCUUACUGUGGGCACAAGGGUGCCCCUUCUACCUGAUGGGGCAGUAUGCAGCUCUUCAGGCAGGUUGGACCUCAUGCGGUCAACCUGGCUGGCGGACAGGCUGCCAGCAUGCGCAUCGCCAAGGACAUCAUGUGCCAGCAGCAAAGAGACAACGUGAAGGCUUCUGAGCAGAGCGCGGAGACAUCUAAAACCGAAGAAUAUAUUCAACAGAUGCAAGACCAUAGGAGAAACGCGACGUGUCCGCGGGGUACGACGCGUGUAAAGUCACAUCUGGACGUCUAAUCACGCACGACCGUGGCCGUAGAGGUCUGGCCGAGCGGCUGGAGUCCUCGCCUCCUCGCUCCGGGCA